rnacentral:tRNA from 1 species
GUCGCCGUGGUGGAACUGGUAGACCGAGGGGACUCAAAAUCCCCUGGAGGUAACUCCGUGUCGGUUCGAAUCCGACCGGCGACA